UACGUAGGGUGCAAGCGUUAAUCGGAAUUACUGGGCGUAAAGCGUGCGCAGGCGGUUGUGCAAGACAGGUGUGAAAUCCCCGGGCUUAACCUGGGAACUGCAUUUGUGACUGCAUCGCUGGAGUGCGGCAGAGGGGGAUGGAAUUCCGCGUGUAGCAGUGAGAUGCGUAGAUAUGCGGAGGAACACCGAUGGCGAAGGCAAUCCCCUGGGCCUGCACUGACGCUCAUGCACGAAAGCGUGGGGAGCAAACAGG
rnacentral:rRNA from 1 species